rnacentral:rRNA from 1 species
GAUGAACGCUGGCGGCGUGCUUAACACAUGCAAGUCGAGCGAAGCACUUAUGAAAGAUUCUUCGGAUGAUUUCAUUUGUGACUGAGCGGCGGACGGGUGAGUAACGCGUGGGUAACCUGCCUCAUACAGGGGGAUAACAGUUGGAAACGACUGCUAAUACCGCAUAAGCGCACAGUACCGCAUGGUACCGUGUGAAAAACUCCGGUGGUAUGAGAUGGACCCGCGUCUGAUUAGCUAGUUGGUGGGGUAACGGCCUACCAAGGCGACGAUCAGUACACGACCUGAGAGGGUGAUCGGCCACAUUGGGACUGAGACACGGCCCAAACUCCUACGGGAGGCAGUAGUGGGGAAUAUUGCACAAUGGGGGAAACCCUGAUGCAGCAACGCCGCGUGAGUGAAGAAGUAUUUCGGUAUGUAAAGCUCUAUCAGCAGGGAAGAAAAUGACGGUACCUGACUAAGAAGCCCCGGCUAACUACGUGCCAGCAGCCGCCGUAA